rnacentral:rRNA from 1 species
AUGGAGACGGGCGAGUCUGCGCGGCAGGGUGCCGCCGGUGCUCGCGUCCCGGCAAGCCGAUUCGCCGAGGAGCAGGCCUUCAGGGAGCGGCAUGGCGAUGGCGACCCAAUGAUGGCGUCUCCGGGCCAGGACUCGCCGUUCAACACGUCCGCGCUCUUUGCGGCGGGGCACCCGGUCUCCGUCAGCCUGCCCGCCUCUCCGUCCAGGUUCGACGUCGCCCGGACGGAGGCGGAGUUCCCGCCCAGGCACCCCGCGGCCAUCGUGCCGGACGCGUCGCGCAUGCUGUCGCUCCCGCCGCGGCCGUCGCCGAUGGUGUCCGUCGUGUUCGAGCAUCUCGAGGAGGUGAUGUUCCGCUCGCAGCCGAUCCCUGCGGCGGCCUCCGAGUUGCCCGACGCCCAGGACUCACAGUCCCAGGUGCUGCACGACGGCUCGAUGAGCGGGGCGCGCAUGGGGAGGAGCAAGGCGCUCAGGGACACGAGCUACGACCCGUUCAAGACGUGGUCCGGGAAGCUGGAGAAGCAGCUCACCACCCACCUCCGCGUCGUCAGGCAGCCGCCGCCGCAGGAGGCGGAGCCCGAGGAGGACGACGAAGACGCGGCGACGAGUGGCCGCCCCUACUCCAUGCCCAGAGUCCACCGCUUCUUCGCCGCGCUGGAAGGCCCCGAACUCGACAAGCUCCGGUCGUCGGAGGAGCUGGUCCUGCCGUCGGACAAGAAGUGGCCGUUCCUCCUCCGGUUCCCGGUGUCCGCCUUCGGCAUGUGCCUCGGCAUGAGCAGCCAGGCCAUCCUGUGGAAGAACAUCGCCAUCUCGGCGUCCACGCGCUUCCUGCACAUCACGCUCCGGACAAACCUCGUGCUCUGGUGCGUCUCGGUGGCGCUCAUGUGCUUCGUGUCGGCGCUGUACGCGUGCAAGGUCAUCUUCUACUUCGAGGCGGUGCGGCGGGAGUACUACCACCCGAUCCGCGUCAACUUCUUCUUCGCGCCGUGGAUCGCCUGCCUCUUCCUGGCCAUCGGCGUGCCGGAGAUGGUGGUGGCGAGCCUGCCGCACUGGCUCUGGUACGUGCUCAUGGCCCCCAUCGUGUGCCUGGAGAUCAAGAUAUACGGGCAGUGGAUCUCCGGCGGACAGAGGCGGCUGUCGAGGGUGGCGAACCCGUCGAACCACCUGUCCAUCGUCGGCAACUUCGUGGGCGCGCUGCUGGGGGCCAUCAUGGGGUUGAGGGAGGGCCCCAUCUUCUUCUUCGCCGUCGGGCUCGCGCACUACAUCGUGCUGUUCGUGACGCUGUACCAGAGGCUGCCCACCAGCGAGACGCUGCCAAGGGACCUCCACCCGGUCUUCUUCCUCUUCGUGGCCGCGCCCAGCGUCGCCUGCCUCGCCUGGGCGCGGAUCACCGGCGAGUUCGGGUACGGCUCCCGCAUCGCCUACUUCAUCGCCAUGUUCCUCUACACCUCGCUGGCUGUGCGGAUCAACAUGUUCAGGGGGUUCAGGUUCUCGCUGGCGUGGUGGGCGUACACGUUCCCGAUGACGAGCGCGGCCAUCGCGUCGAUACGCUACUCGUCGGAGGUGAAGAACGCGUUCACGCAGGCCAUGUGCAUCGUGCUGUCCGUGGUGGCCACGCUCACGGUGACCGCGCUCUUGCUGACCACGCUGCUGCACGCCACCGUGCACCACGACCUCUUCCCCAACGACAUCUCCAUCGCCAUCUCGGAGCGCAGGCCCAAGAACAGCCCCAUCGCCGAGCUAAACGAGCUGCACGCCAACAGCAAGGACGCCGACGCCGCAUGCAGAGACCUCGAAGCCGCCUAUAGGCCCUGA